AUUGAACGCUGGCGGCAAGCCUAACACAUGCAAGUCGAACGAGUGGCGGACGGGUGAGUAAUGUCUGGGAAACUGCCUGAUGGAGGGGGAUAACUACUGGAAACGGUAGCUAAUACCGCAUACCAUCGGAUGUGCCCAUAUGGGAUUAGCUAGUAGGUGGGGUAACGGCUCACCUAGGCAACGAUCACUAGCUGGUCUGAGAGGAUGACCAGCCACACGGGGACUGAGACACGGCACAGACUCCUACGGGAGGCAGCAGUGGGGAAUAUUGCACAAUGGGCGCAAGCCUGAUGCAGCCAUGCCGCGUGUAUGAAGAAGGCCUUCGGGUUGUAAAGUACUUUAAGUUGGGAGGCGUUACCAACAGAAUAAGCACCGGCUAACUUCGUGCCAGCAGCCGCGGUAAUUC
rnacentral:rRNA from 1 species